CCUACGGGGGGCAGCAGUGGGGAAUAUUGCACAAUGGGGGAAACCCUGAUGCAGCGACGCCGCGUGAAGGAAGAAGUAUUUCGGUAUGUAAACUUCUAUCAGCAGGGAAGAAAAUGACGGUACCUGACUAAGAAGCCCCGGCUAACUACGUGCCAGCAGCCGCGGUAAUACGUAGGGGGCAAGCGUUAUCCGGAUUUACUGGGUGUAAAGGGAGCGUAGGCGGUUUAGCAAGUCAGAAGUGAAAGCCCGGGGCUCAACUCCGGGACUGCUUUUGAAACUGUUGAACUAGAGUGCAGGAGAGGUAAGUGGAAUUCCUAGUGUAGCGGUGAAAUGCGUAGAUAUUAGGAGGAACACCAGUGGCGAAGGCGGCUUACUGGACUGUAAAUGACGCUGAGGCUCGAAAGCGUGGGGAGCAAACAGGAUUAGAUACCCGGGUAGUC
rnacentral:rRNA from 1 species